GAACGAUCGGCCACCUGAGAACUGGAGUGUGCUGUCAAUUGACCGCCCAGAAGCUGCGGUUAACCGCAGCUUAAUUGACGAAUGCUGGGUGGCCUUUGUUCGUUUGCCGAAACACGUGGCAGCGGCCAUUUUAACUCCUGAACGGCCAGCGGUGUUGAGCGCCCAAACUAUGGAACUGGAAACGGACACUUAUUUGCGCGAACACCGCUGAGCCGCCAGCCUCCUUACCUCUGCAUUCGGUAGUGGAACCAAAUGACUGUUCAUUCGGUAGUUUAACCGUAUGAAC